CGCCCAAAAGUUAGCUCGCCCAUGUCGCGAGCACACGCCCGAGGAUGGGGCUGCGGCCGAUCAGGCUGUUGGUGAGGUAACGGCUCACCAAACCUUUGACCGGUACGGGCCGUGAGAGCGGUAGCCCGGAGAUGGACACUGAGACAAGGGCCCAGGCCCUACGGGGCGCAGCAGUCGCGCAACCUCUGCAAUAGGCGAAAGCCUGACAGGGCUACCCCGAGUGCUGUCCGCUGAGGAUGGCUUUUCUCUGGUGUAGUGAGCCGGAGGAAUAAGGAGAGGGCAAGUCUGGUGUCAGCCGCCGCGGUAAUACCAGCUCUCCGAGUGGUAGGGAUGAUUAUUGGGCCUAAAGCGUCCGUAGCCGGCCAGGCAAGUUUCCCGUUAAAUCCAGCGAUCUAAUCGUUGGACUGCGGAAAAUACUGCUUGGCUAGGGGGCGAGAGAGGCCAACGGUAUUCCCGGGGUAGGGGUGAAAUCCUAUAAUCCCGGGAGGACCACCAGUGGCGAAGGCUGUUGGCUAGAACGCGCCCGACGGUGAGGGACGAAAGCUGGGGGAGCGAACCGGAUUAGAUACCCGGGUAGUCCCAGCUGUAAACGAUGCGGGCUAGGUGUUAGGACGGCUACGAGCCGUUCUAGUGCCGCAGGGAAGCCAUUAAGCCCGCCGCCUGGGGAGUACGGCCGCAAGGCUGAAACUUAAAGGAAUUGGCGGGGGAGCACCACCAGGGGUGAAGCUUGCGGUUUAAUUGGAGUCAACGCCGGG
rnacentral:rRNA from 1 species